rnacentral:rRNA from 1 species
UGCGCCUACGGGGCGCAGCAGUGAGGAAUAUUGGUCAAUGGGCGAGAGCCUGAACCAGCCAAGUCGCGUGAGGGAAGACGGUCCUACGGGCUGUAAACCUCUUUUGUCAGGGAGCAAGAACGGAUACGUGUAUCCGAGCGAGAGUACCUGAAGAAAAAGCAUCGGCUAACUCCGUGCCAGCAGCCGUGGUAAUACGGAGGAUGCGAGCGUUAUCCGGAUUUAUUGGGUUUAAAGGGUGCGUAGGCGGACUGCCAAGUCAGCGGUAAAAUUGCGGGGCUCAACCCCGUCGAGCCGUUGAAACUGGC